rnacentral:rRNA from 1 species
AUCGCCAGCGAAUUGUGGCCGGUAGAGGCGGGUGCACCUGACGCGGCUCCGUCGAAGUUGACCUGGAAAGGCACGUCGGAGAGGGUGAUAGCCCCGUGCGUGGCGGAGUCGCCGAGGGCCGCUACCGUCUUCUGAGAGUCGGGUUGUUUGGGAGUGCAGCCCAAAGUGGGUGGUAAACUCCAUCUAAAGCCAAAUAGCGGCACGAGACCGAUAGCGAACAAGUACCAUGAGGGAAAGGUGAAAAGCACUUUGGAAAGAGAGUUAAAGAGGCCGCGAAACCGUUGGGAGGGAAACGCAUGCAGCCGGACCGGCCCGCGUCGAGUUCACGGGGCCGCCGUUAGUCGCGUUCGCCGUCGGCACCGAAAGGGUCGGCGGUGGACCCGGGCUCUCGGCGCCCCUGCACUCUCGGCGCUCUGGGCCGGCCAAGCGCGGCGGGAUCCGGGCGACGAGCUCGGUCGGGC